AAGGAUCAUUAUUGAACUUUCGUCGUAGUCGCUUCAGUGCGCUCGACGACCAUUUCAUUUACACCUGUGAACUGUCCCUUUUUUAUAUACGCGAAUACAAGUCGAGUAUGUUGUCAUCUUUUGAUGUAAUAAUCGAAAAUACAACUUUCAGCAACGGAUCUCUUGGCUCUC
rnacentral:misc_RNA from 1 species